rnacentral:rRNA from 1 species
CAUUCGAUACGGGCAAACUAGAGUUUGGUAGGGGAGACUGGAAUUCCUGGUGUAGCGGUGGAAUGCGCAGAUAUCAGGAGGAACACCAAUGGCGAAGGCAGGUCUCUGGGCCAAUACUGACACUGAGGAGCGAAAGUCUGGGGAGCAAACAGGAUUAGAUACCCUGGUAGUCCAGACCGUAAACGGUGGGCACUAGUUGUGGGAACCUUCCACGGUUUCUGCGACGCAGCUAACGCAUUAAGUGCCCCGCCUGGGGAGUACGAUCGCAAGAUUAAAACUCAAAGGAAUUGACGGGGCCCCGCACAAGCAGCGGAGCAUGCGGCUUAAUUCGACGCAACGCGAAGAACCUUACCAAGGCUUGACAUAUAGGGAAAAGUGGCAGAGAUGUCAUGUCCGCAAGGGCUCUAUACAGGUGGUGCAUGGUUGUCGUCAGCUCGUGUCGUGAGAUGUUGGGUUAAGUCCCGCAACGAGCGCAACCCUCGUUCUGUGUUGCCAGCAUUUAGUUGGGGACUCACAGGAGACUGCCGGGGUUAACUCGGAGGAAGGUGGGGAUGACGUCAAAUCAUCAUGCCCCUUAUGUCUUGGGCUGCACGCAUGCUACAAUGGCCGGUACAGAGGGCUGCAAUACCGCAAGGUGGAGCGAAUCCCAAAAAGCCGGUCUCAGUUCGGAUUGAGGUCUGCAACUCGACCUCAUGAAGUUGGAGUUGCUAGUAAUCGUAGAUCAGCAACGCUACGGUGAAUACGUUCCCGGGGCUUGUACACACCGCCCGUCACGUCACGAAAGUCGGUAACACCCAAAGUCAGUGGCCCAACCGCAAGGGGGGAGCUGCCUAAGGUGGGAUCGGUGAUUGGGACGAAGUCGUAACAAGGUA